rnacentral:rRNA from 1 species
CCUACGGGGGGCAGCAGUGGGGAAUUUUGGACAAUGGGGGCAACCCUGAUCCAGCGACGCCGCGUGAAGGAUGAAGGUCUUCGGAUUGUAAACUUCUUUUGACGGGGAUGAAUGCCUGCGUGAAAAGCGCAGGGUGACAGUACUCGUUGAAUAAGCCACGGCUAACUACGUGCCAGCAGCCGCGGUAAUACGUAGGUGGCAAGCGAUACUCGGAAUCACUAGGCGUAAAGCGCAGGUAGGCGGUUCGGUAAGUCUUUUGUGAAAGCUCCCGGCUUAACUGGGAGAGGCCAAGGGAAACUACCGGGCUAGAGUGUGGUAGGGGAUACUGGAAUUCCUGGUGUAGCGGUGAAAUGCGUAGAUAUCAGGAGGAAUACCUAUGGCGAAAGCAGGUAUCUGGGCCAUCACUGACGCUGAGCUGCGAAAGCUAGGGGAGCAAACAG